rnacentral:lncRNA from 1 species
CGGGGCGGCAAAACGUCCGCCCGGGCCCGAGGCGGGCGGAGGCAGCUGUGGUUACGUGCGGGGGGCCGGUGACGCAGUCGCGGGGCGCUGGGACGCGGCUUGCGGAGCCGGCCGGCGAGCGCAGGCCCCAGGCUCGGGCGCGGCGGCGGGACAGCACCUACCUUCCCGGCUUCGGGUCCGGGAGUGCGGGGCGCGGAGCCGCCGGAGCGCUGCCUCCCUCCUUCCUCCUCCCCUCGCCCCCGCCCCGCGGCGCGACACACAAUACUCGCCGGAAGCGGAAGCCGCGCCGAGGCUCGUGUCAGUGGAAGCUGGGGUGUCGGCGGGCGGCCGCGGCCGGGUCUAGCGGUGCCUGCGGAAGAAGGAGGAGGAGGGCUGGCGAUGAGAAGCAGCAGGGGGAAUCAAGGGCAAGAAGGGACCCAGAGGGGCAGGUGGCUGAGAUGCUGGCGUCCAGGUGACCCGAGGAAUCCUCUGGAGAUACAGGCCCGCGCAUGCGCGUGCUCGAGCGCUGAAGCCCAUUGCCCGCAGGGCGCUGGACUGGCGCCCCGGCCGGCGAGGCUGUCUAGUCCAGGCUCCAGGCCCCGGCUCUGGCCAGGCGCCGCCGCCUCCCGGUGCAGCUGAAAGUCGACGAAGAGGGCGGGGCGGGGGCGGCUUGUGGACUUCCACACUUUUCCUCUCUUCGGGCCAGUCUGGGGAGAGGGUGGCUAGCUGUGGCGGCGGCCAAUUACGUGGCGGACCUGCGGGGCUAAGCUGGCACGUCACUUCCGACUAGUGGAGUUUUUAGCCUUUUAACAUUCAAGGAUUAGAGCUCCCUCUUUGCCCACUAGCAGGGCAUUAGCUGGUGCUGAAGACAGUGGCUGCUUGGCGAGCCUGGAUCUCCAAGUGACCCCCUCAGCAACUCCUGAUGAACAGGACUGAAGCCAAUAUUAAAGCAAGUCAACCAAAGGUUCUCUGGUGUAGACAAGACAGCAAAAGGACAGACUACCUUGUGGAACCUAGCAUUGUUCUCCUUCUGCAGCACUAAGUAACAUUUGUUCUCCGUUAAGAUCUUUGCAAACCACACACAAGAAUUGCUGGUCAUCCUGCCAAUAGAUGCUGCUCACAGAACCAAAUUUCCUGUGCUGAAUUGUCACUCAUGGGCCUGAGAGUAGGAGACUGGAGACCAAGGUGGCUAGAAUCCAGUUGGGCCUGAUGUCUCCCUGUUGAAAGGGCUCCUUGUGGAAUGAAUAGCACAUGGCUCCUGUGGUGGAUCUGAUAGUGGCAUAGCACCAAGUGAUGCAGGCCUGCCAGGGGCCACAGACACAGAAGAUGCUCCCGGGGUCCCCCAUGUACUCCAGACACACUGCAGGCCACCUCUCCCAGCAGGUUGCCAGUCAUGGGCCCCAUCAUCAUGACUUCUGUCCAAGGUACUGUGUGCAGAAAUGUGAUUGAGAUUCAAGUCAGGGCCUCUCUGCCCUUUUCCCUCCAGAAACAAAACCAAGAUAAUUUAUCCUGAACACGGUGAAAAAAGGAAGGGAGGGAGGAGAAAAAGUCCGGGUCUCACCUGGGAUUCUCUGUCUCCUGCAACAUGAAGGAUUUAGCCUGGGAGGAGGUGGUGAGAACUCUGGGAGAGAAAAAAGAAGGAAAGAAUAGUUUUACCCAUGCUGAAGUUAAUUUAAACCUUCACCUAGAGAAGCAAAAAAAAAAACCCACACUUUCCCAUUUUGUGCCUCCCUUCCUAGAGUUUUAGCCAAAGGUUUAGCUAAGUAAUUGGUUUUACCAGGGCACUCACUCCUCCUAUCCCAAGUCUGUUUGACUCCCUCCCCAUCAUCCUCCUCACCUCUUUUCAGGCAGGGUGGGGAUAGCAGCAGGAGGAGAUUUUGGGAGCCUGGCAACUCCUGCAAGGACCGCAGGACAGCCCCUCUGUGGGGAUGCGUGGUGCCCCAUCUGCCGCCCUUCUGAAGAAUGCACUGCCUUCACUUUUUACUGUGUUAGAGUCCAUCCAGACUGUUCUAUCCAAAAAAGUUUCUUUUUCCCCCACAGGCAAUCAGGAAAUGAUUCCUUUCCCGACUGCUUCUGUCUAGUGCCUGGGAAUCUUGAGUCAAUCCCUCAGUAAGUCAGUGACUAGGGAAAUCCCUCUCUGAGACUCCCAGUUCAUGUUGCUUAGGGAACCUGAUAUUUUCGUGAAACCUGCCUACACAUGGGCAGCCCAACAGCAGAACAAAUGGUGGUGACCAAAGUGAACAAAGAAGUAUAGUUGUGCCAGCUUCGUAGUUGCCCAUGUGGACAAGUCAGCAGGAUCAGGACACGAGGAAGAGUAAAUGUGAGACAGUCAAUGUGACUUCUGCGAUAAACAGAUUUUUAAACCCCGAAAUUUUGCAAAAUUUUGGUGAAACCUGAACUUUCUUCGUUGCAUAUACUGGCACUAUCUGUACCAUCAUACAACCGUCUCACAUUAAAGCUAUUUUUCUUGGGCACUGAUGAGUAAGGUUGGUAUGUUUGAGUUCCUCAGAUCAACAAAAACCCAUUUUCCUGUAAGUCUUACAUUUAGUAUUUAAGGAACUAAAACUUAAAUACAUUUUGUGAAAUGGUUGACACUUCACUGAUAAUGAUUUAUUGCUUGGAUUAAUAAAUUUUCCAAAAGUUGUCUUAUGUAGAAUAUGGUUUGCAACCAGCAGAACCAUUAAUCUAUACUGCAAUGAUAUGCACUAUGUAUAAUUGUUUAAAAGCCUCUACUUAAUGAUGUAAAAUGCUCUAUUUAAUUACACAUUUGGGUAAACUGUAUACUAACAUCUGAUGGCAUUUUUCCACUGUUUGUUGCUUUUUUCAAAUACUUUAUUGUACAAAGCUGUUCUUAAUAUUUUUCAAGUUUUUUUCUUUGAAUUUUGCUAAUGUUUUCCUUGAAUUAUGAGCACUGACAGAAUGUGCUUAGCACUUUUGGCUAUUCACACAGCUUUUGAGCAUGAUUUGCAUCCAAUAUUUACAUUGCUAGCAAUAAUAAGCCAUCUGUGAGUUUUGUCAAAAGUUAUUGGGGAUUUUUUAAAUUUUAGAAAUGCAAAUUAUUGUUUCUUUGAACUAACUCUUAUGCAGUUGCAAAGGCAUUUCCAGUUGUUAUAGUUUGUGUACAAUAUCAGGUGUUCCAGAUUAUGAUUCAUUAUUAAUAUCAUUGCUUCCUUGUUCCCUCUGAGGUCCAGAAGAUUCAUGUUUACAAUAUUUAGAAACAAUGUUAAAAAGGUAUCCAAAGUUUGUCACUUUAUUAUUAGUUUGUUCUUAAUAUUCUGUUUAAGUUUUUGAAUUCAUAGAUAUCAAAACGCUGCACAAUUAUGAUUUCCACAGGAAUAACAACACACUAACAAUAAGAACCAAAAACAGCAAAUAGGCUGCCUACAAGUUUUGACAAUAUUAGGAUAAUGAUAAUGACAGUUUUUCUAAAUCUCACAGUAAAGAAUGCAGCAACCCAGCAACACUGCUACCUGUGGCCUCAGGCUGCAGUGUCAGCUCUUCCCUGGGUCUCCAGCCUGCCAGUCUAACCUGAAAAUUAUGUACUUGCCAGCCCCCACAGUCACGUGAGUGAACUGGCCCAGGCUGGUCACCAGGGUCAGUUUCUCUGUGUGUCAUUAAUUCAUUCAGUCUUCAGCAGUCUCUUUGGAGCUGAGAUGUACCUACCAUCUGCCUUUUGGGUGCUUAGGGUGGAGAACCAGAAAAGUAUAACCUAGUGUGUAUCCUCAAAGAGCUAACAAUAUGGGGUGGUACCUAUAGGUCUGGAAACACUUUACUGACUCUGUGAGGCAUACCAGGAGACGUCAGAGAACAGUCCCUCCUCAAAUGCCAAAUGAGAUGCAGAAGAAAUAGUUUGCUCAAGUUCAUGGGCCAGAUAUCCCAGUGGUCAGGGAGUUUCAUGAAUGAGAUGGAACUUUGCAUGGAACCCGAGGGAUGUGUAUGAUUUGAGUAGAUGAAGAAAAUGAGACUUUCCAAGCAGCUAGAAGUUAGGGAGCAGCAAGAUGUGUGGUGGGAUUGAGCACAGUUGGUUCAGAGGAUAGACUGCAGUUUUAAUAAUUUGUAGUAAAUAUCUCCCAACUGUUUGGCACUAUUGGAGCAAGUUCUUGAAUGCCAAAUGAAGGCAUAAAUCAGUAAGAGGCAUAAUAAAAGGCUGAGCAGUGCUUGGCUUUUUACGAACUGAUCCUGAUAGGAGCAGCUGUUCAACAAAGUUGCCAGGUCACCGUUACAUAGUCCCUGCCUUCUAGGGGCUCACUGCCUACUGGGAGAGACAGUCUGAAAGUUGGUGGAGCAUGUAACUGUUGGAUGAGGAGUUUGAGCCUGUGGACUGUGGGACCCCCGAGGAGGGUGUGGCUACUCUAGGCAGAACAAUCCCACAGUUUAUUUAUAUUUAACCUUGAAAUUCAUUAGAGGAUUUUUCAGCAGAGGUUUGGUACUUGUUAAUGUUAAGGUUUGCAUUCUCUAGAACCUCAAGGAAAGCUGUACCGUGCAUAAUGUACCCUCUUAUGUUAAUGUUGUGUACUGUGAUCCUGUUUCAGGGACUUGCACUUAGGAAUCUGUUACAGUGAGCACAGAAGCAGACCUGUGGGCUCAUAGUCUUCACCCCCCACCCAUAUAUACAAGAUGAACAGAGUGGAGGUUAAACAACUUGACUAAACAACACAGUUCAUGGUAAAGCCCAAGACUGUACCUGCCCAUCCACUGCCUUUUCCAUGUAUCCUGGAACUGAGCAUAGACCUCUUCCCAGGCAGAGCUGACAGCAAGUAAAGGAGAUCAUAAUCAGGGGACCAAACAACUUUGUCUAAAGUGUGAAUGUCACCUAAGGAGAAGCUGUGAGAUCAGAAGGGUGGGGCAGAGGAGCAGACACCAUGAGGGAGAGUCCUUGGGGGUACAUCUGCCAGACUGACACUGUCUGGCCUGGGCAGUGGAGGGGCUAGCAGGAACCACAGGUACUGGUGGUGUGGCUACUACCGUUACAACUGCCUGUGCUUGGACAUGGACCCUCUGCAAUAUGCGGCAGUUUCAUUCAUUGCCCCCUACAUUCUACACCAAGUAGAAAUGGAAGGCAAUUGGAUACUUCACAGACAAGAUCUAAGUGGAGAAGGAAUGCGUCCUGUGGCUGCAGAGAUCCUUGGAGCUUGGAGGGGAGAGCUUGAGCCCCACUGAUGAUGACCUCCCACAGCUCGCCAACUCAGCCCUCCCUAAGUCCCCAUCGGGGGCCAAUUCUCACUCUGGGGUUGGGGGGACUCCACCAUAGCUCAUCCAUCAUAGGGAUGUUGGUAUCUACUGUGGGUUGGGUAGGGCCGAUGUGCUGAGGAUGGCUCCCCCACAAGCAAGAGAUGUGGAUUUGGGGAGCUUCCCAUCUUGUGUUGAAGGAACAUAACUCAGAAUAAUAAGAGCCAACUAUAACAAACCCACAGCCAACAUCAUACUGAAUGGGCAAAAGCUGCAGGCAUUCCCCUUGAAAAGUGGCACAGGAUAAGGAAGCCCUUUCUCACCACUCCUAUUCAAUAUAGUGUUGAAAGUCCUGAUCACAGCAGUCAGGCAACAGAAAUAAUAAAGGGCAUCCAAAUAGGAAGAGAGGAAGUCAAACUAUCCUUGUUUGCAGACAGUAUGAUUCUAUAUCUAGAAAACCCCAUAGCCUCAGCCCAAAAGGUCCUUCAUCUGAUAAUUUCAGCAAAGUUUCAGGAGACAAAAUCAGUGUACAAAAAUCACUAACAUUCCUAUACACAGUCGCCAAGCCAAGAGCCAAAUCAGGAGCACAAUCCCAUUCAUAAUUGCCACAAAAAAGAAUAAAAUACCCAGGAAUGCAGCUAACCAAGGAAGUAAAGGAUCUCUACAAUGAGAAUCACAAACGCUGCUCAAAGAAAUCAGAGAUGACACAAACAAAUGGAAAAACUUUCCAUGCUCAUGGCUAGGAAGAAUCAAUAUCAUUAAAGUGGCCAUACUACCCAAAGCAAUUUAUAGAUUCAAUGCUAUUCCUAUCAAACAAUUACAUUUUUCACAGAACUAGAAAAAACUUAAAAUUCAUAUGGAACCAAAAAGCCUGAGUAGUCAAGGCAAUCCUAAACAAAAAGAACAAAGGUGGAGGCAUCACAUUACCUAACUUCAAACUACAGGGCUACCAUGACCAAAACAGCAUGGUACUGGUACAAAAGCAGACACACAGACCAGUGGGACAGAAUAGAGAGCCCAAAAAUAAGGCCACAAACCUACAGCCAUCUGAUCUUCAACAAAGUUGACAAAAACAAGCAAUGGGGAAAGGUCUCCCUAUUCAAUAAAUGGUGCUGGGAUAACUGGCUGGCCAUAUGCAGAAGAUCGUAACUGGACCCCUUUUACUAUGUACAAAAAUUAAGAUGGUUUAAAGAGUUAAAACCCAAAAUUAUAAAAAUCCUGAAGAUAACUUAGGCAAUACCAUUCUGGACAUAGGAACUGGCAAAGAUUUCAUGAUGAAGACACCAAAAGCAAUUGUAACAAAAGCAAAAAUGGACAAAUUGGAUUUAAGAGCUUUUUCAUAGCAAAAUAAACAACAGGGCAGACAAUCUACCAAAUGACAGAAAAUUUUUGCAAACUAUGCAUCUGACAAGGGGCUAAUAUCUAGCAUCUAUAAGGAAUUUAAACACAGUUACAGG